rnacentral:rRNA from 1 species
UGGGGAAUAUUGGACAAUGGGCGCAAGCCUGAUCCAGCCAUGCCGCGUGAGUGAUGAAGGCCCUAGGGUUGUAAAGCUCUUUCACCGGUGAAGAUAAUGACGGUAACCGGAGAAGAAGCCCCGGCUAACUUCGUGCCAGCAGCCGCGGUAAUACGAAGGGGGCUAGCGUUGUUCGGAUUUACUGGGCGUAAAGCGCACGUAGGCGGACUAUUAAGUCAGGGGUGAAAUCCCGGGGCUCAACCCCGGAACUGCCUUUGAUACUGGUAGUCUUGAGUUCGAGAGAGGUGAGUGGAAUUCCGAGUGUAGAAGUGAAAUUCGGAGAUAUUCGGAGGAACACCAGUGGCGAAGGCGGCUCACUGGCUCGAUACUGACGCUGAGGUGCGAAAGCGUGGGGAGCAAACAGG